rnacentral:misc_RNA from 1 species
GAAAUGCGAUAAGUAAUGUGAAUUGCAGAAUUCAGUGAAUCAUCGAAUCUUUGAACGCACCUUGCGCUCCUUGGUAUUCCUUGGAGCAUGCCUGUUUGAGUAUCAUGAAAUCUUCAAAGUAAAUCUUUUGUUAACUCAAUUGGUUUCUACUUUGGUAUUGGAGGUCUUUGCAGCUUCACACCUGCUCCUCUUUGUUCAUUAGCUGGAUCUCAGUGUUAUGCUUGGUUCCACUCGGCGUGAUAAGUUAUCUAUCGCUGAGGACACUGUAAAAGGUGGCCAAGGUAAAUGCAGAUGAACCGCUUCUAAUAGUCCACUGACUUGGACAAUACUUUUAUGAUCUGAUCUCAAAUCAGGUAGAACUACCCGCUGAACUUAAGC